UAGUAACGGCGAAGUGAAGCGGGAAGAGCUCAAGCUUAAAAUCUCCGUGCAAGUUUUGCGCGGCGAAUUGUAGUCUAUAGAGGCGUGGUCAGCGUGGGCGCUUGGGGCAAGUUCCUUGGAAGAGGACAGCAUGGAGGGUGAUACUCCCGUUCAUCCCUGAGUGGCUCGUGCGUACGACCCGUUUUCUUUGAGUCGCGUUGUUUGGGAAUGCAGCGCAAAGUAGGUGGUAAAUUCCAUCUAAAGCUAAAUAUUGGUGCGAGACCGAUAGCGAACAAGUACCGUGAGGGAAAGAUGAAAAGAACUUUGAAAAGAGAGUUAAAGAGUACCUGAAACUGCUGAAAGGGAACCGAAUCGUUUCCAGUGUCUAUAAUCCGUGGCAUAUUUCAUUGGCGAGCGUUUGCGUGCGUGUGCUGUGGCAGUGGCUUUUUUGGCUGCGCCUGGCGUGUGUGCUGUGAGUGUUUGCUGGUGCCCUGUGCUGCGGUGGGACGUCAAGGUCAGUUCGUAUGCUGCGGGAAAUGGCUGCCGAGGAGGUAGGGCUUACGCUCCGCGUUUGUCUGUUAUAUCUUGGUGGACGAGUCGUCGUGGUUGGGACUGAGGUGCCUACAACGUGCUUUUGAGUGGGUUUGUGUCUCCGUGUGCGCCGUGUGCGGAUAGCUUGCUAUGCGUGUGUGGUUGUGUGUGGAUUGAUGCGGGCUUUAA
rnacentral:rRNA from 1 species